AGAAAGUAGAAAAGUUUAUAGACCUUCCCUAUGUUGUCAAAGGAAUGGAUGUUUCGUUUAGUGGAAUACUGAGUUAUCUUGAAGCUACUGCUGAGGAAAAGAAAAAAAAAAAUAAUGAAUGCACCCCUGCAGAUUUGUGCUAUUCCCUUCAGGGGCCAAAGAUCAUGUUCUUGACAUGAAAUGUGCUGAUUUGGUGUGACCCGUUGGAUUGGCAUAUUUAUCUCAAGAUGACUCAGGGCAUGCAAAUAUGGGGUGGUUAUUGGAAGGCAACAAGGAGGGGGUAAUUUGCCAAGUAGCAAAGAUUGAUGAAGAUCUGUUGUGAGCUCUCACUACGAGACAAGUUUUGUGUUCAAUUGGUGAAAUAGUAAAUAUGUGUGCUUCCUAGGAGUUGAGUAGUUUUUCCUUUAUAGACAUUAGUGGAGAAAAUAAGAAAGUGUAACAUUGAAUGGAGAACAAUUUACUCCAU